GCUGUGGUCCACAUUUCAUGAAAAACAUCUGGUGAAGGGAGCUUGCCAGAAAACUCUUGCCGAUCUAAAACUGGAUUACCUGGAUCUCUAUCUCAUCCACUGGCCUUCAGGCUUCAAGGCUGGAGAGGAUCUGUUUCCCACAGAUGAGAACGGCAUGGUUAUACCCAGCAACACUGACCUACUACAAACAUGGGAGGCCAUGGAAGAGCUGGUGGAUGCUGGCCUGGCAAAAGCCAUUGGCAUCUCCAACUUCAACCACGAGCAGAUUGAAAGAAUCUUGAACAAGCCAGGACUGAAA